CCACUAGAUCAGUUGCCAAUGGAAAGUAAAAAAAAAAAAAAAAGAGGAGAAAUACAGUAACUUUUGUAGAUGCAGAAAGGUUAAUGACUUAAUUCAUAAAUUCUCCUGUCUUUGACCAAUUUGUUGAUGAGGCCAAGCUUGUUAGAAGCAAACUAGACUUGUAAUAUUGGUACUUUACAUCCAUAACAACCUGUGUAUCUUAAUGCCAAAGCCAUACCCUUGCACAGCAUGAACAUCAGAAAAAAAAGGAAAAUAAAAAAGCAAAAGGGGGCAAAACGAAAUUGAAGCAGACGUCCUGAAUCAGAUAUCAGAAAUUCUAUUUGGAUUUGCUAAUCAUAUAUGUAGUUACAAUGAGACUUAACUCUUUUCUGAAUGAAAAAAAGGCUAAUGAAAGAGGUCCUUCAACUAAAUAGCAAUGGAAUUCACAUUGUUUAAAGAAAAAUCAGUUGCAGAACAGAUAGAAGAGAACAAGAUACCAUUGGCAGCAGGAGGAGUGUAGG
rnacentral:lncRNA from 1 species